rnacentral:tRNA from 1 species
UUUCUUAAAGUAAUAUAUACAUUUAAUUUCGACUUAAAAUUUUGUUUUUUAAUAAAACUAAGAAAA